GAUAUAGUUGUUAAGACUCCUGGCUAGAAACCAGGAGGUUGUGAGUGCUAGUCUCACCUUAGUCA
rnacentral:tRNA from 1 species